rnacentral:lncRNA from 1 species
GGAAAGGCAGCUUUAUUGUUUCCAAGGACGAUGUCCGGAGGAGUCAUACACAUUUCUCCCUCUGAUGUCUACUUACCAUAACCAUCGAGGAAGUAAGAAGUCUUUAAGGCAGCUACCAGAAGCUUUUGUGAAUCUCCAGGAUGUCAUUCACUGAUGCUGCUAGGCUGGGUCACUUCUCCAAACAUCACUUUCUUCCAGUUCUAUUGGGUGGGCACUAAUCAUUUAGGGAGAAUCUGCUAAGCCACAACAAA